AACAUUAGCAACAGACUUAUUAUAGGCCUUAGAAACAGUAAGCACAGGUUAUUACCAAGAUUCCGCAUCCGUAUACCUCUGGAAACAGGCAAGUUAGAAUUCAACCACUAAGUCAAAGAGUGACACAUAGCUUAAACGACUCGGGCUCAGCUCCUGCCGCUAGAGUUCCCAUUAUUACAAUAUAUGUCUUCGUUCCACCCAGUUAAAAGGAGGACAAUACUCAACUAAAGGACACCCUGCUCUAAGGCUCCACCAAGCCUUUUCCGGGGCGCGUCUUAACUAUAAGAAGAAGGCGAGCGAAUCAUAGCUAUGUUUCGUAUUAUAUGGAAGAAAGGCAGAGGAGAGUGUAAGGGAGUGAAUCUAUAUUUAUAGGGAUCUGGGAGUGAAUCUAUAUUUAGAUCUAUUAUGGGACUCUCAGGGGGUGAAUCCAUAUUGAGAUCCAUUAUUAUACUCUAACUCAGGAGAUCCAUUAUUAUACUCUAACUCGGAGGAGAUCCAUUAUUAUACUCUAACUCAAGAAAAAGAGCCAAAAGUACAUAACGGCGAAAUCACUUACGUGCUGCUCUUGGAGGAAGGGCCAGCACACAUCCACACUACAUAAUGGUGCGAAAGUGCGCCAAUUCACAUUUAAACAUGCGACUCAUAUGAUCAUGAUUUUAUAAACAACAAGAAAAGUGUCUUUCUUGGCUUAUUCUCAUGAACGGAUUUAUAAGUGUAUUUGAUUCUUCAAUCUUUGAGAAACCCCUGCCCUGCUUCGUCUGUUGUCUACAAUACAAACUAUAUGGAGUAUAGCAAAUUGUGGAUGUUAGUUACUAUAUGGAGUAUAGCAAAUUGUGGAUGUUAGUUCAAGAGAUUUGAUGUAAGUCACAUUCUUUAGAAAUUGUUGAUAUUAAAUGUAUUAGGUGUUACAAAUGUGUACGAGCUUGCCCUACAGAUGUAUAGGAAAUGAUACCUUGGGACGGAUGUAAAGCUAAGCAAAUAGCUUCUUCACCAAGAACCGAGGACAGUAUGGGUUGUCAGAGAUGUGAAUCUGCCUGCCCAACAUCUUUGGAAAGUGUCCUUCUUUAUGGCAUGAAACAAAAACUCGCAGCAUGGGGUCUAUCUUAUUUAUGAUACGUUCCAAAUCUACUUGAAAGGUGUGAUUCCUAUUUACCGACUAAAGCUGCCCGUACUCGAGAAAUUCUCUUAUUCCAUUCUGAGCACGGGAUUUUCUGGUCAAAACGUGUAUCUUGUCUUUCUCACGAAUUCUUUUCUUACUUGGGGGAAAAUACAUGUUGUUUUGCCGAUCUUUGUCGGUUCUUCCAUUUGCUUUAUGCCUUAUAGAGGAAAUAAGAUGUUGAGAUAGUAUACCCUAAUUGCUAUUGGGAUUCUGAACUCCUUCAAACGACCUAUGUAUUCAGCCAAUUGGACGAUCCAUUCAUCUUAUGUUUAGAAGAUGGGAAAUGGGGAUAGAGAUGGGGGAUUGGAACUUUAGACUGGGAAUCGAGUCGAGGGACCUUUCCAUAGGACCUAUUUUACUGACAGGAUUUAUCACCACUUUAGCUACCGCAGAGAUUAUUUGAGAUCCGCUUAGCUUAUUUACUUACUUAGAUCAGCUUAGCUUAUUUACUUGUUUAGACCUUUUUGUGUGUAAGGAGGAGGAAAGUGAAUCAAUUAUAUCAUGUGUUACUUAUAUUCCAAUCGGAUACUUUCAGUCUCAAGGCAGGAGUUCGGUAGAGCAAUACCUUGUUGGUUAACUAUAUUCCAUUUGCUCUUUUGUGUACUCUUUUGCUUGCUUGGCCAGUCACUCGAAAUAAGCGAUUGUUCUAUUUCCUCAUUACUCAUAAAUCCAGGCAAGAGAUUCCCCCGAGUCACCCAUUCCCGAAAUAAAGGGAGGUGUUCUUGAGGACAUGGCGGGCUCCAAGCUAAACCCUUCUGCCUCUGCUACCAAAUCAUGGAUCUUACAGAUAAGACCAAAGCGAAUGAGCUCACUCGAUUCGCGUCUGAUUCUCAAUUCUAUCUAUCUCAUAUACUGGUGCUGAAAGGAAGUAACUUAAGGAAAGAUCCGGUGAGCUACACUCCUGUACCAAUAGACGUACCGCCUUCAUCCAGUUCCUGAGCAAAGACCACUCCUUUAAGUCCCGGACUCUAUCUCAGUUGUCAAUAAUGAAUCAGGAGGAGUCACCUUUCAAUCAUAAGGUUGCAUCUCUUUAAGAAGGAAAGGAAUAGAAGGAAGGAUAUAAUAAGAAGGAAAGAUAUAAUGCCGAAGAUAAGGAAGUGAAAGAAGAUAAGGAAGUGAAAGCUCAAUCCACCAAGCCACAAUUAGAAUAGAUAGUCAUAGUUAACCCCGAGGCUUGAUGUACAUAGCAAGAACCCGCUCAAAGUGACGAGAUCUUGUAUGACUGAGUUUGGCAAGUACCCUAUAACCUCCACUACUACCUAUCCUUACAAAGAUGGAUAACCUUCAUAAUUCAUAUACGGUUUGGUAUAUAACCUUAAUAAUGAAUAUACGGUUUGGUAUAUAACCUUAAUAAUCCAUGGAUCUUUUUUACAUAUAGCCCAUCAGACCAGACCAUAUGGAUUAUUGUAAGCAAGCAAGCAAACAAGGCAAGCAAACAACGAGCAGACAUGGCAGAUGGAUCUACGCCCCUUGACGCAAAAGCGCUUAGCAAACUCAAAUGCACUAGUGUCAGAAAGAGAAGAGGAGAUUAAUGCACUAGUGUCAGAAAGAGAAGAUUGAAGAGUCUAAAUAGGAACGGAGUCUUUCUUUCUGAGGAAACUUAGAAUCAAAAGGAAGGGCGCUUUCCUGUGGCAGGAAGGUGUCGGAGCUCAUCUUUCUAGGAGUCUCCUACAGGCUUUCCCUCAUUACUUUACUUCUUAAUAAUCCUAUAAAUAGGCCUAACUUCUUCUGGUUUUCUAGCCCGGUGACUUUGAAGGGCUUUUCUUUUUUCCCACAAUUGUAUUGCCUCUUCUUACUGCCGUAUUUAUGUUAAUGCAUUUUCUCAUUUGCCCUAGCCCAGGCUGGCUUGGGAAGUUUCUUAUUCUUCCUCACAAUAGUCAAGAUGAACUUAGAGAAGCCAAUGAAUUGUGUGAUCUGGGGGCUCCAUUUCUUUUUUCUAAUGAGCUAAAUGAGCAGCAAGAGCGAGCUUUUGGUUCAGGCCAGAGGAGCGGGCGAGCGGCCGAGACAUCAAAUAUGAAGCCAGUAUAGCUCCGAGAGAUACGAUUGGCACUGGUCUGAAACAACCCCAGUCUUACUUCAUAGAGUAAGCUCUCAAAAUGAGGUCCUGACCAUAAAGAGAAUGUCUCCAUCCCUCUAUCACUUACAACUUUUCCAUAGUAUUUCUCUUCACUUUCCGACGCCUCUAUCACUUCAUACUUCUCAUUUGAUUCCACAGUCCGACGCCUCUAUCACUUCCUCCUAUUCCAUAGUAUUUCUCUUCACUUUACUUAGCUUAGUCUAUAUCCACAGCUGACGUGACUCCGCCCUUUCUUUGUGGACGGAUAAUCUACUCUUUCACAAUACAAUAUUCUCCAUUGUAGAACAGCUCCUUUAGUUUUACUACCUAACAACUCUGUCAUUCCAUAGUCCCGACGCCUCUAGCAACUCUCCCCGAUAUGGAAUUGGAUUUCCUGGAAUGUGCGUGUCACAGCGUGAACAACUGGUGCAGCAGCCUCGUCCAGUGUCACUUCUGAGGUGGUGUCGUUUUGUUAUGGGUGAGAGUCAAGCGGAAAUGCCAUAUAGAAAUGAGAAGCGGCCACUUCCCCUUGGCUGAUUGAAACGGGAACGGGCCCUUGCUGCUGCGAUGGCUAGGUAGGAAGGAGCUUCACUGGACGCGGUGAAACUAGCUCCUACUCUUGGAACAGCUUGAGUAAUAAGUCCCUGGAACUCUGUUACUCGAUCCUAUAUCUAACCGGAGUACGCAAGGUCAGUAUUUCACAAACGAGUCUAUCAGGCUGAACAGAGGUAUUAUUUGCUGGGGAAGGGCGGAUCUGUUGAUCAGGGGGAAUUGGAGGUGGAUUCAAGCCCGAGAUCCCUUAUGACAUAUGCCCCCUAACGGGAUGAGAGGUUACCUUCGCUACACUCGCCAAGCUACUACAGU
rnacentral:lncRNA from 1 species